rnacentral:rRNA from 1 species
GACGAACGCUGGCGGCGUGCUUAACACAUGCAAGUCGAACGGAAAGGCCCUGCUGUUGUGGGGUGCUCGAGUGGCGAACGGAUGAGUAAGAAGCGAGUAACCUGCCCUUGACUUUGGGAUAACUUCAGGAAACUGGGGCUAAUAACGGAUAGAAGCUCCUGCUGCAUGGUGGGGGUUGGAAAGUUUCGGCGGUUGGGGCUGGGCUCGCGGCUUAUCAGCUUGUGGGUGGGGUAGUGGCUUACGAAGGCUUUGACGGGUAGCCGGCCUGCGAGGGUGACAGGCCACAGUGGGACUGAGGUGCGGCCCAGACUCCUACGGGCGGCAGCAGUGGGGAAUAUUGCACAAUGGGCGGAAGCCGGAUGGAGCAACGCCGCGUGCGGGAUGACUGCCUUCGGGUUGUAAACCGCUUUCGCCGGUGACGAAGCGUGAGUGACGGUAAUGGGUAAAGAAGCACCGGCUAACUACGUG